GACGAACGCUGGCGGCGUGCUUAACACAUGCAAGUCGAACGAAGUGGCGAACGGGUGAGUAACGCGUAAUCCACCUGCCCUUCAGAGGGGGACAACAGUUGGAAACGACUGCUAAUACCGCAUACUGAAUGAGGGGAUUGCGUCUGAUUAGCUAGUUGGAGGGGGAACGGCCUACCAGGGCGAUGAUCAGUAGCCGGUCUGAAAGUCUGAAAGGCCAAACGGGGACUGGGAAACGGCCCAGACUCCGACGGGAGGCAGCAGGGGGGAAUCUGCCGAAAUGGAAGUAAGUAUGACGGAGUAACGCCGCGUGAGUGAUGACGGCCUUCGGGUUGUAAAGCUCUGUUAAUCGGGACGCGGUACCGGAAUAGAAAGCCACGGCUAACUACGUGCCAGCCGCCGCGGUAAUUC
rnacentral:rRNA from 1 species